ensembl:lncRNA
AUGGGAGUCAGUUUUUACCCAAACACCAUCGUAGUCACCAAAAUGUGUAAAGCCUUUCCAAAACACAUCUAUGUCUUGAAUGUUUGCAUGCAUGUUCAAGACACCAAAUGAGAAAAAUCCACCAAAUCUGAAGAAGAAAUAACUAGUAUAACCAGUGUUUCAAGCUGUCUAAAAAUCAAAUAUGGGUCAAUAAACAAUAAAACAUAAAAAUAAUGUAUUUAUGUUUUAGAAUGAAAUACUAAUGUAUUUUUAAAAAUGAAAUAUAUAAUGUGUCAUCUUGUAGAGCACAGAUUCACUGCUGUAAUAUCAUAAUGUUGUAUAUUUUAAUACACGCUGGUCAAAAUGUCUAAAGAACAUCCGCUGAAACAAACGUGUGAAAUGGUUGUUUUUUCUACAUCUGUUUCUUUCUGAGCCAAGCCCUGAUGGAGGCCGCUCUCCCGCGGCAUGCUGGGAGUUUUCAGUGCAACCUGAGAGUGUGACGAGGCAACCGCACGCUAGAGACACACCGGGACUGUCAUCGACGCGAGCCCAGAGUUUGACGAACUGUUUCCCUCUUUUCCAGGCCCGGCCCGUUCCAGAGCUCCGGCCGUCUGAAUGGAGGCUUGUGUUUGUCCCAGACCCGCGCCUCUCUCUCGGGAAACUUCACACGCGUCUAAAUCACAGCCAUAACCAAGCAGCUGAUGCCAUUAAAAAUGAAACCCUUCAUCUCAUGGCGGCGGGGGGUGAAGGAAAAACAGCGUGAGCGACGAAUGACAAGAAAAUCCCAUCACGGUGUAUCAGCAGUUGAGCCACGCUUUCCCAUAAUGCACUGGGACAUGACUGAACGGAUGAUUCAGUUAUUGGCUUUUACAGCUUUUUAAAAUUUCAACAUGAACUUAUUGCCAUCUGAUGUCAUUUAAACUCAUUUUCUUAUUAUUGUCAUGUCAAGCAUCUAAUAUUUAGAAGCAACAGAUUGAUUGUUUCCUCAUUUCAUGAUUUGCACAACAAAAAUACAAUUAAAUAUUCCCUAAAAACACUAUAAAAGGCAAGGCAAGUUUAUUUAUAUAGCAC